rnacentral:lncRNA from 1 species
AGCUAUUAGAGUACCUCUUCUCUUUCGCUUGUAAAUAACCCCCUUCAAAAAAUAUCAACGAUGCGCUGGAGUCCGGGCUUCCCGACGUGCAGCGUCCUUCUUUGGCCUAAGGGGGCGCCAAACGCAAGUGUUUGUAGAAGGCAGAAUGUCGGCUAGGCGCAGAAAGCGGAGGCAGAAACAGGCGGAGCAAGGGUUUAAUGACGGCAAAGAUGCAAGGAAAACCUCAGACUGUGUGGACAGGCUGGCAUUCAAGUACAUGGAGAAGUGUAAAGUGGAAUCCAGCACAGACUCCGAGUCGGACACAAGCCCCGAGGGAUGUGCCUCCAGUACACCUGAGAGUGGAGCUACCAGGAAGGUGCUGUCUUUGGCGCAGCAACACAGAGGCCGGUCUUCCCUGCCAUCUUGGGACCCCUAUGACGGCAGCUCUGAGGACUCCUCGGAUACGUCCAGGUGUUCCCGGAGCCGAAUCCAGGGGGGCAGUGGAUUGAGGUCCAGGACCCGGUCAGUGACCGCCGUGCCAGCCUCCUCUCCCAAGGCCCCGGGGAAGAGAGGCGACUCUCUGAAACUGGGUGAAAUACAGCUGCCUUCUGAUGUCCAGAUGAAGUCCUCCAGUGACUCGGAGGUGAGAUUUGGGGAACCUGUGUCCCCAAGGGGUGGCAAGGACUGGAGGGAGAUGCCUGUGGACUCAGGAGUGCAUACAGAGGCUUCACUCUCCACACCCGGACAGUUUGCCUUCCUAAGCUUCACCCCAGCCCGGCUGCCCGCAAGCACCUCAUACAGGAGCUGGACUGGGUCUCUCAGAGCACACCCCAGAUCUGAGGAGGGGUCCCCCGGAAGUCCUGAGCCACUAGCGUUCCUCCCCAAGCGCAAGUCGGGGUUCCCUGGGGCCGAGUCUGGCGAACGCUGCCUCAGGAAGAAACAGCGCACAGUUGAACUGGAGGACACAGAGUGAAGAACUGAAAUCCUUUCUGCUGUUGAUGAACAACACAUAAUUGUCUGAAGCAGUUCAUGAUGCACUUACUUUCCCAAUGCACUUUUUGUUUUCCUUAGACAUUUGAGUUGUAUGAUUUUGAAAAUUGUUACAAUCACAAGGGUAAUCAAGGACCUUGUUUUUUUUGUGAAUGCGGUUUAUUUGCAUGAUAAAAAUCACACAAUAAAGUUUAUCAUGGGUGAA